rnacentral:rRNA from 1 species
AUUGAACGCUGGCGGCAGGCCUAACACAUGCAAGUCGAGCGGGGUUUUCGGACCUAGCGGCGGACGGGUGAGUAAUGCGUAGGAAGCUACCCGAUAGAGGGGGAUACCAGUUGGAAACGACUGUUAAUACCGCAUAAUGUCUACGGACCAAAGUGUGGGACCUUCGGGCCACAUGCUAUCGGAUGCGCCUACGUGGGAUUAGCUAGUUGGUGAGGUAAUGGCUCACCAAGGCGACGAUCCCUAGCUGGUUUGAGAGGAUGAUCAGCCACACUGGAACUGAGACACGGUCCAGACUCCUACGGGAGGCAGCAGUGGGGAAUAUUGGACAAUGGGCGCAAGCCUGAUCCAGCCAUGCCGCGUGUGUGAAGAAGGCCUUCGGGUUGUAAAGCACUUUCAGCGAGGAGGAAGGGUUAGUAGUUAAUAGCUGCUAAUUUUGACGUUACUCGCAGAAGAAGCACCGGCUAACUCUGUGCCAGCCGCCGCCGUAAAAC